rnacentral:tRNA from 6 species
CUCCCCAUAGUUCAACGGAUAGAACGGCUCCCUUCUAAGGAGCAGAUCGAGGUUCGAUUCCUCGUGGGGAGA